rnacentral:rRNA from 1 species
CGGGACACGUGGUAUCCUGUCUGAAUAUGGGGGGACCAUCCUCCAAGGCUAAAUACUCCUGACUGACCGAUAGUGAACCAGUACCGUGAGGGAAAGGCGAAAAGAACCCCGGCGAGGGGAGUGAAAAAGAACCUGAAACCGUGUACGUACAAGCAGUGGGAGCACGCUUAGGCGUGUGACUGCGUACCUUUUGUAUAAUGGGUCAGCGACUUAUAUUCUGUAGCAAGGUUAACCGAAUAGGGGAGCCGAAGGGAAACCGAGUCUUAACUGGGCGUUAAGUUGCAGGGUAUAGACCCGAAACCCGGUGAUCUAGCCAUGGGCAGGUUGAAGGUUGGGUAACACUAACUGGAGGACCGAACCGACUAAUGUUGAAAAAUUAGCGGAUGACUUGUGGCUGGGGGUGAAAGGCCAAUCAAACCGGGAGAUAGCUGGUUCUCCCCGAAAGCUAUUUAGGUAGCGCCUCGUGAAUUCAUCUCCGGGGGUAGAGCACUGUUUCGGCAAGGGGGUCAUCCCGACUUACCAACCCGAUGCAAACUGCGAAUACCGGAGAAUGUUAUCACGGGAGACACACGGCGGGUGCUAACGUCCGUCGUGAAGAGGGAAACAACCCAGACCGCCAGCUAAGGUCCCAAAGUCAUGGUUAAGUGGGAAACGAUGUGGGAAGGCCCAGACAGCCAGGAUGUUGGCUUAGAAGCAGCCAUCAUUUAAAGAAAGCGUAAUAGCUCACUGGUCGAGUCGGCCUGCGCGGAAGAUGUAACGGGGCUAAACCAUGCACCGAAGCUGCGGCAGCGACGCUGAUGCGUUGUUGGGUAGGGGAGCGUUCUGUAAGCCUGUGAAGGUGUGCUGUGAGGCAUGCUGGAGGUAUCAGAAGUGCGAAUGCUGACAUAAGUAACGAUAAAGCGGGUGAAAAGCCCGCUCGCCGGAAGACCAAGGGUUCCUGUCCAACGUUAAUCGGGGCAGGGUGAGUCGACCCCUAAGGCGAGGCCGAAAGGCGUAGUCGAUGGGAAACAGGUUAAUAUUCCUGUACUUGGUGUUACUGCGAAGGGGGGACGGAGAAGGCUAUGUUGGCCGGGCGACGGUUGUCCCGGUUUAAGCGUGUAGGCUGGUUUUCCAGGCAAAUCCGGAAAAUCAAGGCUGAGGCGUGAUGACGAGGCACUACGGUGCUGAAGCAACAAAUGCCCUGCUUCCAGGAAAAGCCUCUAAGCAUCAGGUAACAUCAAAUCGUACCCCAAACCGACACAGGUGGUCAGGUAGAGAAUACCAAGGCGCUUGAGAGAACUCGGGUGAAGGAACUAGGCAAAAUGGUGCCGUAACUUCGGGAGAAGGCACGCUGAUAUGUAGGUGAAGCGACUUGCUCGUGGAGCUGAAAUCAGUCGAAGAUACCAGCUGGCUGCAACUGUUUAUUAAAAACACAGCACUGUGCAAACACGAAAGUGGACGUAUACGGUGUGACGCCUGCCCGGUGCCGGAAGGUUAAUUGAUGGGGUCAGCGCAAGCGAAGCUCUUGAUCGAAGCCCCGGUAAACGGCGGCCGUAACUAUAACGGUCCUAAGGUAGCGAAAUUCCUUGUCGGGUAAGUUCCGACCUGCACGAAUGGCGUAAUGAUGGCCAGGCUGUCUCCACCCGAGACUCAGUGAAAUUGAACUCGCUGUGAAGAUGCAGUGUACCCGCGGCAAGACGGAAAGACCCCGUGAACCUUUACUAUAGCUUGACACUGAACAUUGAGCCUUGAUGUGUAGGAUAGGUGGGAGGCUUUGAAGUGUGGACGCCAGUCUGCAUGGAGCCGGCCUUGAAAUACCACCCUUUAAUGUUUGAUGUUCUAACGUUGACCCGUGAUCCGGGUUGCGGACAGUGUCUGGUGGGUAGUUUGACUGGGGCGGUCUCCUCCUAAAGAGUAACGGAGGAGCACGAAGGUUGGCUAAUCCUGGUCGGACAUCAGGAGGUUAGUGCAAUGGCAUAAGCCAGCUUGACUGCGAGCGUGACGGCGCGAGCAGGUGCGAAAGCAGGUCAUAGUGAUCCGGUGGUUCUGAAUGGAAGGGCCAUCGCUCAACGGAUAAAAGGUACUCCGGGGAUAACAGGCUGAUACCGCCCAAGAGUUCAUAUCGACGGCGGUGUUUGGCACCUCGAUGUCGGCUCAUCACAUCCUGGGGCUGAAGUAGGUCCCAAGGGUAUGGCUGUUCGCCAUUUAAAGUGGUACGCGAGCUGGGUUUAGAACGUCGUGAGACAGUUCGGUCCC